GACGUAGGGCGCGAGCGUUGUCCGGAUUUAUUGGGCGUAAAGAGCUCGUAGGCGGCUUGUUACGUCGACUGUGAAAUCCCUCGGCUCAACCGAGGAACGUCGAUCGAUACUGCUGUUCUUGAGGAUUGCAGAGGAGACUGGAAUUCCCGGUGUAGCGGUGAAAUGUGUAGAGAUCGGGAGGAACACCGGUGGCGAAGGCGGUUCUCUGGGCCUUACCUGACGCUGAGGAGCGAAAGCGUGGGGAGCGAACAGG
rnacentral:rRNA from 1 species